rnacentral:lncRNA from 1 species
UAAAAUUUCAAAAUAAUCCUCCAACGUGUUUGUGGCCUGAAGGAGCAGAGCAGCGGUGGGAACAAUUUAAUUCCUAAUAAAGUCCAUACCUCUAAGUCGCUGCGUGUGUGCCAUUGAAACGCAGAGAAGUUGCUAGAACUCCUCCACUCCUGCAGAGCUGUUGCCUCUCUGGGCCUGUGUGACAAUGUUUGCUCUCCCUGCUGUCACUUUGCACUUCCCCGAGUCUCUCUGGAUGGCACUUCAUGAUUUCUCCCUGAAGCAAUGAUGGAAGUAUGUCAGCUGUCAAAGGUUCUGGCAGCAGAAGGCAGCUGAGAAUAAAGCGGCUUCACGGUAAUGUCGGUGACCCCCUAACCAUACCCCGCUUUCCACCGAUGAUUUGUCUGGACAGUGUUUAAAGCAGAUGAAAUAUACAUUUUUUGAAUCAGGCAACAGGAGAUGACCAGUGCUGGGUUUCAUGGGAACCAGAGGAUUUACAACUUUGCUUGGGCUCCACGUACCAGCAGGAGCCUGAUGAGGAGGGCGGCUGUGUUCUGAAUUGUUUUAGGAAGUCUCCUUCAGCCCAAGACCGUCUGGACAAAAUUGCCAUGGGAUCCUGUUGCUGCAGCAGGAUGUUACCAAAUAAUAAUAAACUAACCCAUGCAAAUGUAUUGAAGAAUAAUGAAUAAAUAAAAUUUACAAGCAAAUGUAAGUAUAAAGAUGUAUCUAAAUGCACAUAAUAUUAAUGGAGAUUGAUAAAAUAAACCAGCUAGUAAUGAUGUGGAAGUGAUAACAUGUACACAUCGUUUUGCAAAUCAGAUUUUUAGUGACUAAAUAGAAAAUGACUUGGAGAAAAUACAUGAGACUUUGUGAGUAAUUCUGAGGUGGGAGAGAAAUUUUUUAAAAUUCUGAGGAUGUAUGAUGGGAUUCUUUAAGACUUUCUCUCUUAGUCUCCUGAACUCUGUUUAUAGUGUACACAUUAACUUUGUUUAUAAAUUUAAUGAAUCCGUUUUUGAUUAAAUAAACAUGCGUAUGGUAAAGAAAUUCCGUGAGACUAAAUAAUUCUUCCACCCCUGUCUCCCAGUUUUCUGGUUCUCUUCCUCAGAGAAAACUACUAUGUUUCUUGAAUUUUCUUCAGAGGAUAAUUCUCUGUAGAUACAAACAUAUUUCUAAAUGUGCCUUUCACUUUUAUAGCAUGAAGUUUGGUGUCCUAAGUAAGAAUUCUACAGUUUGCUUGUUUUCACUUACCAAUAUGUCUGGAGAUUGUUCCAUACAUACAUGUCGAUCCACCUCUUUCUUUUUAACACCAGGGUCUCUGUUAUAGACAUAACACACUUGUCCAGGCAGAUAACUUCUCAGCUUAGCGUUUUCAAGGUUGUUACAUAAUAAUGAUCUUUAUAAUGGAUUUGUCCUCUUCAGAGCAGGUCUGGGCUUUUGAUGUGCCAUGUGGAUUAUUGGUGGAAAUUUAUGAGUACAUUCUUUGGAGUUGCAUUCACAUUCAAGUCUGUAUUAUAACAUUCACAAUUAUAUAACUUGGACCCUUCACCUUCUUAUUUUAAUUUAGAUUCGUUGUAAUUCUGGACUUUCAUACCACCAUUAGCCUUGAACUUAUUUUGAAGCUCUCCUAUAGGAGAGCUAGACAAGGAUGUUUCUUGUCUAAUAUCCUGGACAAUAUUCUCCAGUAGCAAUGUACAAAAGAGUUAAUGGAAGCUUAAUUUCUGGGUACUCAAACACCUGAAUAUAUCUUUAUUCUGUUCUCAUAAUUGACUUAACAAUAUGACUAGUUAUAGGUAUCUAAGUUAAAAAGAUUUUCUCCAUAAUAUAUUGGGCCUCAA